ensembl:antisense Gm13807 predicted gene 13807
GCUGCUGCGCGGCCCUGGUCAGCUUCCGCUACCAUGCUGCUUCUGGGUUGGUUUGGACUAGUUUCUCCGUGUGUUUGUGAUUUGUUUUUUAGCAGGAUAUCAUAUUUCUUGGCACAUUCUCUGUUUGUUUGUUUGUUUGUUUGUUUUCCAGGAAGUCACAUUUGAGCAUUACCAGUGACGGAUCACAUGCUCCUGGCAUCUCUGCCAAAGCUCAUGGUCCAGUGGCUGCAUCCAUGCAAAGUAUCCUCACCUCAGGCUGGCAUGUGCUUCCACAUGCUCCCUUCCCCUUCCCAUGAUUCUGUGCUUAAGGUAUGCUAUCAUGCCAUCAUGCCCAGCUUAUACAGUUCUGGGGAUCACACCUGGGGCUAGGGUCCUCUAUGGAGUCAUUGCCCCAGAGUACAGCAAAGUGUACAGAAAACAUAUGGCCCUGGGUCUCCAACUACCAACCAGGUCAUCUCUUGGACUGUCACCUCCUUCCCUGACAGGGGCAGAGGCCCAAGUAGCCUUUGAAGCCGGAAGUAUGGGCUUCAGCCCUUGCUCUGGUGUCCUCUAGUCAGGCUUUAGGUAAAGGAGGCAGGUAAGAGCUACCAGCCUGGAGUGAACCCCUAUCCUGUGACCUUAGCAUAUUCUUUAGUGUUUUUCAGUGUGUAGUCCACCAUAAUCUACAGUGGCUCUCAGUUCCCUGCUAGCUGACAGUGGCCACUCCUGUGUAGGCUUGCGUGAGUAGGUAUGGGUGUGGGGUUGUCUUGGCUCCCUAGUCCCAUACCUAUACUUUCUCUACACUCGGGCUAAGAAGAAAUUGCAGCAGGGAGCAAGAGACCCACCCAGUAUACUGACUCUAACCUCAGGGGACCAAGGGAGCCCUGGCAAAGACCCUGACAUGGAACUCCUUCCUUCCCACAGGCACUGAGUGGAAACUCUGCCUACCUGGAAGCCACAUUCUAGUCAACCCCACAGACCCCAGCAACUGCUGCAUCCUACCUCCCACAGGCUGUCUGUUCAGUGGAAGGGUGGAGCCAAGAGAAAUGGAUUGAUUCAGAGUGCUGAGUUGAGAAAUCUAAGGUCACAAUGAGUAAUGAAGACCAUUAAGUCUAUCCAGAGAGCAGCUAGGCCAAGAAAAUGCGAUUGGUGAUUGAUUGGUGAUGUCUGCUGAGGACGAAGCUGUGUAGAGUGGUCUAGGGUCCUACUAUGUAGCCCUAGCUGUCUUGGAACUUGCUACGUAGACCAGUCUGUUUUCAAGCUCAGAGAUUCUCUUGCCUCUGCCUCUAGAGUGCUGGAAUUAAAGGUGUGCCACU